AUAAUGGUGUCUUUAGACACCACCUUUUUCUUCAAAAUGUUUUGU
rfam:Picea glauca, whole genome shotgun sequence.